UCAGAGGAAGCUGAUUUGCAGGGAGGAGACUAGAAACAGAGAUAGAAAAAAGAGAGAUCAAGAGACAGACAUCCCAGGGAGCCUGCUGGGAGCUUUCUGAGGCUCCUUGAGACCAGCCUCCACUGUGAAACUGGGAGAGGAUACCCUUUACACCUUAGACUAACUCCCCUCUGCUGAAGCUGCCUUUGCAGUGGGGUAUUUGCUUCAGCAUUUGCCUGAGCUUCCUUGCAAGGAUUUUAGGAUCAAAUCAAAUAAUGUUUAUGAAAGGACUAGGUGACCUGUGAGGAGCCAUGGUGAUUGCGGUGAAAUGUCUGGAAACAAGGUGUGAAUUUAAAUAUAGGCAGUAGGGGACUGGCUGCUCAGGGAAUCCAAUGAGGGAAGCUGGGCAGAGAAGCUGGUGGUUCCCAUGGAGAUUUGUAGCAACUAUGGGGCAGGCAGCCGGAGAAGGCUGGAAGAUCCCCGAGCAGGAGAGAUGGCUGCGGUGGACUGUGAAGGAGGCUUGGGGAUGUUUUGUGGGAUGGUGGACAGCAGGGAUGGCCAGAGGCUACUGCAGAUGGUAUGGGCCAGUGGCAGUAACACCAGUGAGUAAGCCAUGGGGGGGUUUCUGAGCGGGCAUUUUUAGAAAGGCAAAAAGAAGGAUCUGGUGGGGGCAGUGGCUCAAGAAGGCACUAUAUUCUUAGGCGUGGGGACUGGGGCAGAACAGCAUCCAGAAAGGGAAGCUUUUUGUGAAUGAAGAAGACCUGAUUACUCAUUCAUUCAACAAGCAGUGCUGAGCUGAGCUCUGCUCCAAAAAGAGGUGAGUGAGCUGUGGUUCCGUCCUCGUGAAGCUUCUGGUCUGCUGAGGGAGCCAGGACCAUAUAACAGUGCUACAAAACAAGGCCUGAUUACCAGCAGUUCAGAAGUCCCUGGGAAGAGUGCAGUUGGCUCACGGAAGUCUUCAACUGGGUCUCCCAAAUGAGGCAGUUCCUGAGUUGCAAACUCUGAGAAGUGACGUUCCAGGGUGUGAGGAACAGACUGGAGCAGUCUCAAAGCGGAGCAGACUGAAGUGCUGGCGUGAGGAGCCUGGAAAGCCAAGCGACCCAGGCCCGGAGACCACGCCCUGUGGAACAUUCUGCUGCUUCUCGUGAGAAGCAAAGAGGCACACACAGGAGCAAGCUCUUCCUGGGUCUGGAUCUCAAAUGUGAGUUCUAGGCUAGCUAGUCCUAGCGGACUCCGAUCAUCCCCAAGGAUAGGUUCAUUGGACCAUCUCCAACUCCUCACCCACCUCAUCUCUGGAAGAUGCACAUGGCUGGUGGGGAUACAUACUACUCUAUAAACUCAUCCUCCCUGAUCUCAGAAACACAGCACCUGCUAAUCCGGCCCUCAGCGGGACACCUGUGUGCUUGCCUCGCUCCUGCAGCCUACUCCAGGAUUUUAAGUUGGUCAGCUGACAACAGUUUCCUGAGAAACGUUUUGUGUGUCUGUUAGUAUGUAUGUGUAAAC